rnacentral:rRNA from 1 species
UUUUUUUUAUUAAAAUAAUAUUUUAUUUUAAAAAUUUAAUUGGGGCGAUUAAUUAAUAUUAAAAACUUUAUUAACAAAAAAAAUGAUCCAUUAUUAAUGAUUAUUUGAUUAAAAUACUCUAGGGAUAACAGCGUAAUAAUUUUUGAUAGUUCUUAUAGAAAAAAUAGUUUGCGACCUCGAUGUUGGAUUAGGAUUCU